rnacentral:rRNA from 1 species
UACGUAGGUGACAAGCGUUGUCCGGAUUUACUGGGCGUAAAGCGCGCGCAGGCGGUCGAUCAAGUCGAGUGUGAAAGCCCCCGGCUCAACUGGGGAGGGUCAUUCGAUACUGAUCGACUCGAAGGCAGGAGAGGGUAGUGGAAUUCCCGGUGUAGUGGUGAAAUGCGUAGAUAUCGGGAGGAACACCAGUGGCGAAGGCGACUCCCUGGCCUGUUCUUGACGCUGAGGCGCGAAAGCUAGGGGAGCAAACGGG